UACGAGGGGUGCAAGCGUUAUUCGGAAUUAUUGGGCGUAAAGGGUGUGUAGACGGCAUGCUAAGUCAACUGUUAAAUUCCCCGGCCUAACUGGGGGUAUGCGGUAGAAACUAGCUGUGCUAGAGGGUGAGAGAGAGAAGUGGAAUUCUCGGAGUAGCGGUAAAAUGCGUAGAUCUCGAGAGGAACACCAAUGGCGAAGGCAGCUUCUUGGCUCACUCCUGACGUUGAGGCACGAAAGCGUGGGGAGCAAACAGG
rnacentral:rRNA from 1 species